GCUCGGAUGGUGUAGUUGGUUAUCACGUCAGUCUUACACACUGAAGGUCUCGAGUUCAAGUCUCGAUCUGAGUA